AUACGUACCUGGCAGGGAUGAUACCAUGACCACAAAGAUGGUUUCCCAUUGUGAGGCUUAUCCAUUCCAUUCCAGAUGUGCUGACCCCUGCAAUUUCCCCAAACAUGGAAAACUCAACUGCAUAAUUUGUGGUAGUGGGGGACUGUGUUCAUGUUUUCCACGCCACCCCCCA
rnacentral:snRNA from 1 species